UCUUCACGAGAAAAAAGGGGGGAAAAAUGGGAGGAGUUACGAGAUUCUCUGGGUUGCAUGAAGAUCUACUAAUAACUUUCUCGCCAAGUAAUUUGGCGUCAUCGGCUCAUUCUUAUUUCUGGAACUGUGGUUGAAGAGUGGUCUGUUUUUGAUCCAUGUGCGCAAUGGCAAAUUUCAGGUUAUUCGUCAAAUAACCAAGGUUUCUAUUUCUCUGAUUAAUGCAGUUUAUUUGACAGAUGUGUAAUGCUGUUUGUUGAAAAAUGCAUUAGAACCAAUGAUGGUAAGAUCUUGGCCUAGCAAAUUGGUAAAAUAUUACCUGCUCUUAAUUACUGAAUCAUAUUGUAGGAUAAAAUCUGCUGUUUAUGUAUGAAAAUUUGUACUUUAUCUCUGAUUAUGUGGUAUAUGCCCAGAAUUUCAUUAUUAAUGAUCGAUUCAUUAAAAUUACUAUUUUUAAUUGUCUACUUUGUUUUGUGUUGCUGCUGCUCAUUCUGCAUUUUUUUUUUUUUUUUUUUUUU
rnacentral:lncRNA from 1 species